rnacentral:rRNA from 1 species
GAUGAACGCUGGCGGCGUGCCUAAUACAUGCAAGUCGAGCGAACAGACGAGGAGCUUGCUCCUCUGACGUCAGCGGCGGACGGGAGAUUAACACGUGGAUAACCUACCUAUAAGACUGGGAUAACUUCGGGAAACCAUAGCUAAUACCGGAUAAUAUAUUGAACCGCAUUGUUCAAUAGUGAAAGACGGUUUUGCUGUCGCUUAUAGAUGGAUCCGCGCCGAAUUAGCUAGUUGGUAAGGUAACGGCUUACCAAGGCAACGAUGCGUAGCCGACCUGAGAGGGUGAUCGGCCACACUGGAACUGAGACACGGUCCAGACUCCUACGGGAGGCAGCAGUAGGGAAUCUUCCGCAAUGGGCGAAAGCCUGACGGAGCAACGCCGCGUGAGUGAUGAAGGUCUUCGGAUCGUAAAAUUCUGUUAUUAGGGAAGAACAAAUGUGUAAGUAACUAUGCAGGUCUUGACGGUACCUAAUCAGAAAGCCACGGCUAACUACGUG